UGGAGCUCAGGUCUCUAGACAGAGCAGAAAGCCCAGCAAACAAACAAACAAACAGACACCAUUGAGCCCCUCACAUGGAGACUCCGGCAGUUGUAGGACAACAUUCUAAAGUCAGUACAGAAGACUACAGAGAGGAAGAGGUGGGCUGAGCAGGAUUUACUAUUGGAGAGUGAGGUCCUUGAAAACCAGCAUAGGAGAAUAAAGGCGUCGUUACCCUUGAGCAUUCGGUCAUGAAACUGCUGGAGAGGAAAUUAAUUAACCCCUGCCAAGGCUUCCCAGCUGCGGGGCAGGAAUUAAGCUGUCAUCCCUCUUGGAUGCUUGGAUCAGACCUGCUUUGGCUGGCUCAGCCUCUGAAUGAACAACCGGCUCUUCUCCCCUUCGGCUGCCCUUAGACUGAGAACACUGCUCCAAGCAGUGCUACAAAGGACGGACGGAACCUAGAGACAAAUGGACCUUUUCCCAAAGUUACAAGGGAACUUAAAAGCUCUGAACUUCCAAACUGAAUAUAAAAUUUCACAAGAUAUAUUUACAUUAAAAAUAAAAGGGUAAAGUCUUUAAAGGAAGGAGAGUUCAUGUGUGUGUUUGUGCAUAUUUUUCCUAUGUUAAUAAUAAAAGGGAAACACAAUAUCACAGGACAUCUGGAUUAUAUAUACUCUUGCUAUACUUAC
rnacentral:sRNA from 1 species